rnacentral:rRNA from 1 species
AGCUCCAAUAGCGUAUAUUUAAGUUGCUGCAGUUAAAAAGCUCGUAGUUGGAUUUCGGGUGGGGCCUGCCGGUCCGCCGUUUGGUGUGCACUGGCUGGUUUCAACUCCUGCGGAGGACGCGCUCUGGGCUUAACGGUCUGGACGUGGAGUCCGCGUGGUUACUUUGAAAAAAUUAGAGUGUUCAAAGCGGGCUUACGCUU